GACGAACGCUGGCGGCGUGCUUAACACAUGCAAGUCGAACGGAAAGGCCCUGCUUUUGUGGGGUGCUCGAGUGGCGAACGGGUGAGUAACACGUGAGUAACCUGCCCUUGACUUUGGGAUAACUUCAGGAAACUGGGGCUAAUACCGGAUAGGAGCUCCUGCUGCAUGGUGGGGGUUGGAAAGUUUCGGCGGUUGGGGAUGGACUCGCGGCUUAUCAGCUUGUUGGUGGGGUAGUGGCUUACCAAGGCUUUGACGGGUAGCCGGCCUGAGAGGGUGACCGGCCACAUUGGGACUGAGAUACGGCCCAGACCCCUACGGGGGGGAGCGGGGGGGAAUAUUGCACAAGGGGCGGAAGCCUGAUGCAGCAACGCCGGGUGCGGGAUGAGGGCCUUCGGGUUGAAAACCGCUUUCGCCUGUGACGAAGCGUGAGUGACGGUAAUGGGUAAAGAAGCACCGGCUAACUACGU
rnacentral:rRNA from 1 species